rnacentral:rRNA from 1 species
AACGACUCUCGGCAACGGAUAUCUCGGCUCUCGCAUCGAUGAAGAACGUAGCGAAAUGCGAUACUUGGUGUGAAUUGCAGAAUCCCGUGAACCAUCGAGUCCUUGAACGCAAGUGGCGCCCGAGCCAUUGGCCAGGGCACGUCUGGUGGGUCGUCAC